rnacentral:rRNA from 4 species
AGACGACUCUCGGCAACGGAUAUCUCGGCUCUUGCAUCGAUGAAGAACGUAGCGAGAUGCGAUACGUGGUGUGAAUUGCAGAAUCCCGUGAACCAUCGAGUCUUUGAACGCAAGUUGCGCCCGAGGCCACUCGGCCGAGGGCACGCCUGCCUGGGCGUCACGCCCCCGUUCGCUCCCUCAAGGCACGCCCUGCCUCGGGGAUGCGGAGAUUGGCCGCCCGUUGCGCGAAUCGAAGGCGAGCGGUUGGCCCAAAUGCAGGUCAAAGUGCGGUGCGGCACGACGCGCGUUGGUUUAGUCGCGCGGCUGAUCGCUGGCCGGUCGCCGCGCCCGUGUCAUGCCGCUCGCGGUGCGACCCGUGGGACGCAACUUGCCCGCUGCGGCGGGCACUCGGACCGCGACCCCAGGUCAGGCGGGACCACCCGCUGAGUUUAAGCAUAUCAAUAAGCGGAGGAGAAGAAACUUACGAGGAUUCCCCUAGUAACGGCGAGCGAACCGGGAGCAGCCC